UACGCAAUUCCUCUCUCUGGUACCGCCGCCUUUUUUGCUAUUCCUAUCACCUGGUCUCUCCUCCUCCCACUGUGGCCCCACGCCCUCUUCUUCCUCACUGCCUGCUUUGCUCUUCUGUACACUUGACUAGUCCAUUCUGGCGUCAUCACUCUUCCUGUUGUUAUUGCUGCAGACUCUGAUCUGCAGCUACCAUCACACCGGGCCCAGUGAGCCAUGGCAGCUGCAAUACAAUGCUUUGCAAUGCAGUGCAGUGCAAUGCAGCGAUGAAUGAAUGAAGGAAAGAAGGAAGAAGCCCUGCAGAGGUAAUGGAUCCCAGUAUAACUGUAUUUGUGUGUGUAAAAGUGUGUAUUGUCAUGCUUUCCUGUGUGUUGUCAUGCUUUGUGACUCAGAUUGCGAUCCCACUGUUGGGCUCAUCCUCGCUCUUUUCCACUGUCCUCUAGAGGAUUUCAUUACCUGUGAGACUGGUGCAAUUUGCCUUGCUAGUGCUUUUGCAUAUUGUUGGGCAAACCUCAGUGAAUCAAUACAAAUCAUGAAUUUUUUUUUACUGUGUAUUGGGAGCUUUAGAAAAGAUCGCGGAGGUUAUGUGUGUCUAUAUAUAUAUAUAUAUAUAUAUAUAUAAUUAAAAUAAAUAUAAAUGUAGGAGUUGUGUAAUUAACUAGAGAUUAUUGAUUUUGAAAAGAUUAGUUGCAUUGACUACCUCUUUGGUGACAAGUUGCACGAAUUUAGUUGAAAUCCAUCAUUUAAUGGUUUUAUGAAGUAUGUGUUUGUGUGGUUGUAUAAGUAUGUAUUAUAGAAUAAUUGUUAUGUGCUGUUUCUUACGAUUGGAUUUGAAAUAGUAUUUACCUCCUCAAAACCAGUAUUAGUGCCAAACAUAAUGAUUUUACAACCAGCUAGUAUUGUAAGUUGUAUUGGUAUUUUUUUAACCGUGUUAUAUUUAUAUAAUUGCUUAUAAAUGUGGGAUUUUUUCCAAUUAAAAUAAUUAUUGAAUCUGCAUUAAAUAAAUAAAUUUUAUUAUAAAUAAUUUUGUGCUGUAAAAUUAAUUGUAGAAUUACUUGUCAUGCUGCAUCUUUUUGAGUUAAAAUACAUCAUUAUGGAAAUUGUAGGUUUUGAAAAUCUAAAUAACUUUUACAUAAAUUGAACAGAUAAUGGUUCUUGGAUAAGAUUGCAGGUAGUUGAUUCAUUAUUGUUGUACCCUUAGUCAUUGAAAAAAAAUAUUAUUGCUUAUAUGAAUUUAACACAAGACAAAUAAAAUAUCCAAUCAUCUUGUUGAUAUUUAGUAAAGUAUUCUAAUGUUAAAAAAUAAUAAUUAAUAUAUGUAUAUAUAUAUAUUGAUUUACAACAUUUUUUGAAAUUUAAAUAAUAACAUAAGAAUUAGCAUAAAAAAUCAGUGUAAUAAUUUCUAAAAUGUAUAACUAAAAAUGUUAUAAAUAUAAUUAUUUUUAAAAUAUAAUAAAUUUUUAAAAUAUAAUAAAUUUUAUUUACUUAUUUAUUUUUUGCAAGUCUUUUUGAAACAUUUAUGCUACAACUUGAAAAUUCAAAAGUAAAUAGCUAAAUUAAUGUCUAAAAUUUAAAAAGACAAUCAAAUUGAAAGAUAAAAAUAUACUAAGAGAGUAAAUUUUGACACCAACAGUGAUUUUAUUUCUACUUUUAGAUGCACUUACUCCCAAGAUAAAAAGUGAUUGUACAAAAGUUUAUUGACUUAUAUAUAUAUAUAUAUAUAUAUAAGUUUUAAAGCAUAUAUUCUAUUUUAUUUUAAGAACCACAAAAAAAUUAUAAAUUCACGACCAAUUAAU
rnacentral:lncRNA from 1 species